GCAGACAGUCUACAUACUCUGAAGACACACAAUCCUUUCUGAUUCUGGAAGGCCUUCUUAGGUUCUAAGGCUAGUACUUGGAUGGGUGACUACCAACGAAUACCAGGUGCUGUUGGCU
rnacentral:rRNA from 11 species